rnacentral:ncRNA from 1 species
AUAAAACCACCGCCGGGUGUAUUAAAAAAGAGUAUCUUUAACAAUUCCGUUAGGCCAAAGAAGGAAUUGCUAAGGGUGCUCUAUUUUU